AUGAACUUCACUUGCUAUAUAUCUUAAAUAGGCAUUGGAAGUACUUAACCUUUCAAACUAGAAUGGCCACCAAUACCAAGAUUCUGUAUUUUACCAUUGCAAUUCUCUGCAUUGCCUCAACUGUAUCUUCAAGUUCAAGUUCAGGAGGAACCAACGAGACUAAUAUGGUUUGUGGUGAGAUGUAUGGAUGUCCUGAUGACGAUUUUCCAUGUUGCUUCGUUUGUGCAACUUAUGGAUUACGUGGAAAGUGUCAUAAAAAUGAAUGUUGUUGCGAUAGUGGUGCACCAAUGUGCUAAAGAAUGUACCAUUCUUCAAAAUGUAUUUUAUGAAUAUAGUUUUAUAAUUAUGGAAAAGCUAAAUUGAAAUAAAUAUAAUAAUUUUAAUUUAA